GUCCACGCCGUAAACGAUGAGUACUAAGUGUUGGGGGUCAAACCUCAGUGCUGCAGUUAACGCAAUAAGUACUCCGCCUGAGUAGUACGUUCGCAAGAAUGAAACUCAAAGGAAUUGACGGGGGCCCCGCACAAGCGGUGGAGCAUGUGGUUUAAUUCGAAGCAACGCGAAGAACCUUACCAGGUCUUGACAUCGAUCUAAAGGCUCCAGAGAUGGAGAGAUAGCUAUAGAGAAGACAGGUGGUGCAUGGUUGUCGU
rnacentral:rRNA from 1 species